rnacentral:rRNA from 1 species
ACGCUCGACACCUACGGGGGGCAGCAGUCGGGAAUAUUGCGCAAUGGAGGAAACUCUGACGCAGUGACGCCGCGUAUAGGAAGAAGGUUUUCGGAUUGUAAACUAUUGUCGUUAGGGAAGAUACAAGACAGUACCUAAGGAGGAAGCACCGGCUAACUAUGUGCCAGCAGCCGCGGUAAUCUGAGGCGGGCUGGCAAGGC